AAAUUUUGUAGAUUACAAUUAAAACUUUUUCAAAUUAAAGAUAAGAUAACUAAUUACAACUAAUGUAAUUUUAGUGAAUUCAAUUAUUAACUUUUACUUUUAAAUACUGUUUUGGUCCAUGCUCUGCACUAUCACUAUAACUUUCUCAAAAUAUUUUAUUUCAAUCAUAGUACUGGAAUUUUGAGUGGGUCAUAAUUCAAUCCUAUGAAACAAUAUAUUCACAAAUUAAGUCACUUCAUAACAUAU
rnacentral:misc_RNA from 1 species